AUGAAGAACGCAGUGAAAUGCGAUAAGUAAUGUGAAUUGCAGAAUUCAGUGAAUCAUCGAAUCUUUGAACGCACAUUGCGCCCCCUGGUAUUCCGGGGGGCAUGCCUGUCCGAGCGUCAUUACAACCCUCAAGCUCAGCUUGGUGUUGGGCCCCGCCGCCCCGGCGGGCCCUAAAGUCAGUGGCGGUGCCGUCCGGCUCCGAGCGUAGUAAUUCUUCUCGCUCUGGAGGUCCGGUCGUGUGCUCGCCAGCAACCCCCAAUUUUUUUCAGGUUGACCUCGGAUCAGGUAGGGAUACCCGCUGAACUUAAGCAUAUCAAUAAGCGGAGGA
rnacentral:misc_RNA from 1 species